rnacentral:rRNA from 1 species
AACGAACGCUGGCGGCAGGCUUAACACAUGCAAGUCGAGCGCCCCGCAAGGGGAGCGGCAGACGGGUGAGUAACGCGUGGGAAUCUACCCAUCUCUACGGAAUAACGCAUGGAAACGUGUGCUAAUACCGUAUACGUCCUUCGGGAGAAAGAUUUAUCGGAGAGGGAUGAGCCCGCGUUGGAUUGGCUAGUUGGUGGGGGAAAGGCCUACCAAGGCGACGAUCCAUAGCUGGUCUGAGAGGAUGAUCAGCCACACUGGGACUGAGACGCGGCCCAGACUCCUACGGGAGGCAGCAGUGGGGAAUAUUGGACAAUGGGCGCAAGCCUGAUCCAGCCAUGCCGCGUGAGUGAUGAAGGCCCUAGGGUUGUAAAGCUCUUUCACCGGUGAAGAUAAUGACGGUAACCGGAGAAGAAGCCCCGGCUAACUUCGUGCCAGCCGCCGCCGUAAUAC